GAUAAAACCAACUUAAAGCUAAGUGGAAGUUUUUGUAGUAAUUUAUUUGUAUAUUGUUUGCAACCUUAUGAAGAUCGCAUAUUAUUUGUAUUUCAUAUUUUUAAAUAAUUCUUUAGCUAAUAUCAAAUCUUUAAAAUGCGCAAUCAACUUUUAGUUUCAUAUAUCGAAGGCCUACUGUAAUUCUGGUUUGCGCACACUGCAUGAAUAGUUUUCAAAACAGCGCAAAUACCUCAACAAAUACCGGUCAGAGGGUGGCUACGAUGCAACGAAAAAAAAAUAAGUCCAAUUGCAGGAAUGGAGGAAGAGUCGUUUUAAAAAUGCAUGGGAGCAGCAAAGUGUAUUGCAGUUUUCUUUUAGAAAGUGCAGGAGGCAGCAACGCGAAAAAUAAAACGGAGGAGAGAAAAUUCGCAGACACAAACACACACACACACACACACACACACGCAUGCUGCAGAAAACGCAAAAGUCAAACCACUUUCAUAAACCAAACACAGGCAAUAUACUGAGUAUGUAUAUAAGUAAGUGCGACAAAGCGGCGAGCAUAGCGGGUGUAUACAUAAGUAUGUAUGUAUUUUUAAAAUUAAUUUUGAUGUUUACAUUGCCAGUACAAAGUACGCGUUAUAAAUUACUUGAUUCGUAAAAUAAAAAUAAA